rnacentral:rRNA from 1 species
CCCUUAGACGUUCUGGGCCGCACGCGCGCUACACUGACCAGUGCAACAAGCAUCCGUCCUUGGCCGACAGGCCCGGGCAAUCUUUGAACGCUGGUCGUGAUGGGGAUAGACUUUUGCAAUUUUUGGUCUUCAACGAGGAAUUCCUAGUAAACGCAAGUCAUCAACUUGCAUUGAUUACGUCCCUGCCCUUUGUACACACCGCCCGUCGCACCUACCGAUUGAGUGAUCCGGUGAAUUAGUCGGAUGGUGUUUGGCAUCAGUAUCUGCUGUCAUACGCCAGAAGUCUUGUGAACCUUAUCACUUAGAGGAAGGAGAAGUCGUAACA